rnacentral:rRNA from 1 species
UACGUAGGUGGCAAGCGUUGUCCGGAAUUAUUGGGCGUAAAGCGCGCGCAGGCGGCCUCUUAAGUCUGAUGUGAAAGCCCCCGGCUCAACCGGGGAGGGCCAUUGGAAACUGGGACGGCUUGAGUAGUAGGAGGAGAAGAGUGGAAUUCCACGUGUAGCGGUGGAAAUGCGUAGAGAUGUGGAGGAACACCAGUGGCGAAGGCGACUCUUUGGCCUAUAACUGACGCUGAGGCGCGAAAGCGUGGGGAGCGAACAGG